CACAAAAGGUUGGGUUUCUGCCACAACCGUAUAGAAGUGAUUCUCUUGUCCGAAACACUUUCAAAUUUCAAAAUCUUCCCCCCCCCUCUCUCUCUCUCUCUCUCUCUCUCUCUCUCUCUCUCUCGCCAGACUCUCUAUCACUUUUCGCCGGGAAAUCUCUUGCCAGAUACCCUCUCACUUUUCGCCGGAAAUGCUCUUCAUUUUCGCCGGAAAUCUCUCUAUCGCCGGAAACGCUCCUCUCUUGCCGGAAAGCUCUCCAUUUUCGCCGGAAACGCUCCUCUCUCGUUGGUCAGUGAAAAAGGCAAAUUUUAUUAUCAUGGAAAAGCUGUCUAAACUGGAGGCAUGUUCUUUGUUGCAAUCUAAAGGAAGUUUUGUAGAUAAUAGCGACAGAAUCAGCAAUCUUCCGAAUCAUAUUGCUCAUCACAUCCUUUCAUUUCUUACAAUGGAAAACAUUGCACGAUUGAGCGUAGUGUCAAAGUGGUGGCAAGAAUUAUGCAUAUCUAUUCCGUCCUUGACCCUUAACGUUGACGGUAGGCGAUAUAAAGGCAAGGAUUUUAAACUAAUUUACUUCAAGAAUUUUCUUGAUAGGUUGAUGCUUCGACGCAAUGGAAUGAAGAUGGUGCAGUUUUGCGUUCAUUGGACUUUUCCUGAUUGGCAUUCUGAAGAAUAUCGUUUUCUCACAUGGUUGCAUGAUGCAGUAAGGUCUAAUGUUGAAGUGCUUUAUCUUGACCUUUGUAUAUUUCGUCGAGGGACUUUUCACAUGCCACUUUGUGUUUUGCAUUGUGAAUCGUUGAGGUUUCUAACAGUGAGUUUGUUUGGAGGGGUUCUCCAACUGCCGUCCUCAACUGGGUUCAAGAAGCUUCAAUCGUUAUCACUAACACAUGUUCGAGUUCUUGACGACCUUUUUGUGGAACGGGUCUUGUCUUCUUGCAACUCCCUUGAUAAGUUAUGCCUUCAUGGCGUUAAUGGGACGAAUAACAUUAGCAUCCAGUCCUCAUCUCUUAAAUAUCUAGAAAUUACGAGUUAUAUGCAUAAUGACCUAUUCCAUGUGAAUGUCUCUGGGGAGCUACUUGAGGAGUUGAUAAUAUGCUGGAAAUUUUUUCCCUCUGGUGGUAGAUCACUGAAAAUUGCUACUCCCCAUCUCAAAUGUUUUACAUGGGGUGGAUUUGCUCCAGAUAACUAUUUUCUGGGGAACUUAAAGUGUUUACGUUCUUGUGCAUUAAGUCUUGAACAGCUUUCUAGCUCAUGGAGGCCCCCGCACAUGGAGUAUUUCCAAUUUCUAGAAGGGAUCAAAGAUCUAGUGAUACAGUUUCCGUGUCUUCAGGCAUUAUAUGAGGCAGGCAUGCUACCGAUUCCUUUGAAGCAUGUACAUACUUUGCGUAUAAACUUUACAGAUAGUGACUAUGACAAUCUAGUGCCAGCGAUGGCCUUACUUCUGAAAGGAGCGGCUAAGGCAUUGGACAAGAUUAAGUUCCUUUCUCUCACAAGAAAAGAGAUUUUGGGCAAAGGAAAGAACACCGAGCCUGACAUCCAGAUUAAAUUAGACAAGGAGAAGAAAAUCCUUUCAAUUUGUGACAGAGGUAUUGGUAUGACAAAGGAUGAUUUAAUCAAGAAUUUGGGAAUCAUAGCAAAGUCUGGAACUUCAGUGUUCGGGGAGAAAACGCAGACGAGUUGAGAUCUCAAUCUCAUUGGGCAGUUUGGAGUUCCCUCAAUUUAUUUUGUAGCAUUACUUUAACUUAUUUUUGCAAAUAAAUUGCAAUACAUACGGAGGGCAUCAUGGAGACAGGAAAAGGCCCUAAAAUAAAGAGGCUUGACAAUCAAUAGAAAGCACGUUUUCAGGAAGCAUAACAAUCUUUUUCUGUGCAAUAUAUUUUUUAUAUUUUUAUAUUUUUUAUUUAAUAAGUGGAGAUUGUUGUGUAUACCUUUGUGAAAAAUAAAUAAUAGAAUUAACCA